rnacentral:rRNA from 1 species
UACGAAGGGUGCAAGCGUUACUCGGAAUUACUGGGCGUAAAGCGUGCGUAGGUGGUGAGUUAAGUCUGUCGUGAAAGCCCCGGGCUCAACCUGGGAAUGGCGAUGGAUACUGGCGUCGCUAGAGUGCGGUAGAGGAGAGUGGAAUUCCCGGUGUAGCAGUGAAAUGCGUAGAGAUCGGGAGGAACAUCAGUUGCGAAGGCGGCUCUCUGGACCAGCACUGACACUGAGGCACGAAAGCGUGGGGAGCAAACAGG